UACGUAGGGGGCUAGCGUUGUCCGGAAUCAUUGGGCGUAAAGGGCGUGUAGGCGGCCCGGUAAGUCCGCUGUGAAAGUCGGGGGCUCAACCCUCGAAUGCCGGUGGAUACUGUCGGGCUAGAGUGCGGAAGAGGCGAGUGGAAUUCCUGGUGUAGCGGUGAAAUGCGCAGAUAUCAGGAGGAGCACCAAUUGCGAAGGCAGCUCGCUGGGACGUAACUGACGCUGAGACGCGAAAGCGUGGGGAGCAAACAGG
rnacentral:rRNA from 1 species